GCCCGCCUAGCUCAAUCGGAUAGAGCGUCAGACUCUUAAGGCGGUGAUCUGAAGGCUGCGAGUUCGACCCUCGCGGUGGGCU